rnacentral:rRNA from 1 species
AUUGAACGCUGGCGGCAUGCCUAAUACAUGCAAGUCGAACGAGUGGCGGACGGGUGAGUAAUGUCUGGGAAACUGCCCGCUGGAGGGGGAUAACUACUGGAAACGGUAGUUAAUACCGCAUACCAUCGGAUGUGCCACGUUGGAAUUGGCUGGUGGUGUGGGUAACGGCUCACCUAGGCGACGAUCCCUAGCGGGUCUGAGAGGAUGACCAGCCACACUGGAACUGAGACACGGGCCAAACUCCUACGGGAGGCAGCAGUGGGGAAUAUUGCACAAUGGGCGCAAGCCUGAUGCAGCCAUGCCGCGUGUAUGAAGAAGGCCUUCGGGUUGUAAAGUACUUUCAGCGAGGAGGCGUUACUCGCAGAAGAAGCACCGGCUAACUCCGUGCCAGCAGCCGCGGUAAUAC